ACAGGUCCACCCCAGGACCUGCCUUGCAGACCCCGCAAUGCUCACUCCGGGAACGAAAUGGACGUGCCGUUCAGGAGAGCUGGGUGAGCCCAUGGGGUCUGGCGAGAGCCCAUGCUGCGGGGGGCCGACUCAGAAUACGAGCAGAGCAGCAAAGCUGACUUAACCUCCUGGUCUGACCUGGAGGCCAAAGCAGAGGGCCCUUGAAGGUCUUGAGAGGAGACGCUAAGCUCAUCUUUGUGGAAGACCACCUGGCCUCUGCUCGGAAUCCCCCCCUUUCUCCUGACUCCAGGGAGGUGGACCCCAAGCCAUGGCUGGGCCAAGGUGUGGCCGACCUACCUGCAUCAGGGCUGCGCUCAGCACCCCCAGCACCAGGACCAACUUCCGGAAGGGACAGAGGCGCCCGCUCCAUCGCCUCAAGGCCGGUCUCAACAAGCACCACCUGGACUUCGCGGACAGCUCCUGGAGAGAGCUUCUAGAUCCCUCUGACGGGGAGCUGGACGCUGCCCCCUGGCAAUGGGCCUGCCGCGGCCCUGGCUGCGCUGCAGGUGGCACUGGGCCUCCCCACGCACCCAAGCCCAGGAGCCCGGAAGAAGGCUGCUUAGAAGGGCCACCGUGGAAACUUUCAGAUGCUGGCUGGGCCUCUGCCUCCCUGGGGGCCACAGACGUGGACAUGCAGCCGGUGGAGGCCAGUGGCCCUGAGGUGCCCAUGGGGCCAGCCGGGCUUCCUGGGGCUCCAGCGGACUUGAGGAGGCUGGGGGGAGAGUGGGGUCCCAGGGCAGCGGAGCACCCCGACCCCGCCAGACACACGCGGGGCCGAGCCAGGGCGGCCCGGGCCCCCAGACUCGGGAGUGAGCGGGACAGGAUGCCCAAGCUGUCCCUCUCCAAGAGGAAGCUAGAGCUGCUACUCGCGGAGCCUGAGAAACAUAAGAGGCGGAAGCAGCAUGUGAGCUAGAGCAGGCACAGACCGAGCGGAGUGUGGGGCCAGUGCCGGGGCCAGCCCCUCUGCUGGGGCCACGUCGCAGGCCUGGGACUCGCUGUCCAAACACCAAUAAAAGCAGAUCACC